AAAACAGCCAGCGAGGCUCCCCUCGAUCUAUGUAUUCUAUCCUGCGAUCUCUCAAGGACGCCCCAGCCCCCAAUACGAGCCGCCGCCGAGAUCCAAGACGAGCCGCCGCCGAGAUCCGAGUCGAUCCGCCGCCGCCGAGGACCGAGUGGAGCCGGCGCCGGCCAGGCUCCCCACGAUGUGCGCGCCGGGGCGCUGCUCCCGCUCCCGCAGCCGAGCAUAGCAGCAGCGGCGGAGCCCUGCCGCCGGCGAGCUCUCUCUGGCGAAGGAGGGCGGGGGCGAGCUCGCCGUCUCUCUCGCGCUCAACGCCAGCAGGGACGCAGGCUUCGACACGGCCGCCUACAUAGGAGCGCUCCAGGCAAGGCGCUUCGGGAGGUGGAUUCUUUGGUCGCCGCGGAUGGCAUCCACGCACGACCUCGUGACACAGAACUUCGCCAAACUUCCGGUGGGCGUCGUGUGCGCCACAGACAUGCAGUUCAAAGGCAAAGGUAUGAUUGGAAUAAUCAACCACACCCGCCUCGUCCUACCGGAGGCAGCUCCCCUCCACGUGGCCGCUGCAAGAGCAGCCGUCGGAUCCUGACGCGUCGUCGACGAUGACUACGGCAGGUGUGACGCGCCGGCGCCGGAUACAGUAACCGUGAUAGCUGACAGGCGUCGGCUCCGUUGAUCGCGUGAAGUGAGGUACCAGCGACCAUGACCUUGAUGAGAGGCAGGCGGUAAAGUCGAAACCGCCUUGUCCAUGGCUGCAGGUUGCUUCCCGAUCAGUCCAAGAUCCGUCCGAGCCGACGGCAAGACGAACGCUUCCCAUGUGCAGUGCACAUAGUAGGUCAUGGGGAGAAGAAAAGCAGCGGAGAAGAAGAGAUUGAAUUAUAUGUGCUUCUUGUAUGAGCUACUGUUGGGGCACUCUUUUGGGGUUGAUCGGCACAGUGGAGGACAGGGAAGGAGGAGAAGGAUGUGAGGUGUGUAGAAUUGGGCGCAAAGGGAGACGAUCAAGAUGGUGGAGCAGAAUCCAGAGGACGCCGGGAGACCAGGUGUCCUGGUCCAACUUCCUCUUUUCCUUCUUUGUGGUCUAUCUGCUGCGAUUGCCGCACAGGAAACCUGCCGAGCCGACAUUGACGCCAAGUGCGGCGAUGCCGCUUCCAAUGAUUGUGAGGGCAAGUUCUUCCCGGGCUUUACCAAGAUCAACUAUGAGGGUCCAACUAGCAAGAGGGCGCUUGCUUACAAGUGGUAUAACAUAGAGGAAGUGAUUCUUAUAAAGAAAAUGAAAUGUGGCAUUCUGGCAUACACGUUCCGGGAUACCGGAGGAGAUCUUUUUGGUGCACCUACAAAGAACUGGCCUUGGGAGGAUGGCAUGAAUUCCAUGGCCAUGGCUACGAGAACUCUGGGACUUGUUACUUAUUGAUAGAGCUGACAUGUGAUUUAACUGCUAAUGAGGGUAGUUUAGGUUUCAUUGUCUUUAAUAAUUUUUGGCUUGGCCGACAGGGUACUGCAAUGCUAUGGGUUGAUAAAGAAAAAAGGGAAAUAAACGAGAAAGCAAGACGGAAUUGGCAGAAUCACGACAAAGGACGUGCCCUGCAAUGAAUUGAGAAUCGCUACUGGAAUAUUUCUUUAUUUCUUUUUGGUAAUCUUUUUCUGGGACUCCAAUUUGUUCACUUGAUGUUGAUGGGUGUUUUCGAGGGAUCUCAUACUGUUUUUCUGCCAUACCGCAUACAUCCUGAGACUCUUGUUUUGGACGUUCACGCUGUUCACUAGAUGGUUUUUCUAGAUUCUGCCGCCGAAGAUGAAGAGAGUGCUGCUGUGUUUCUUCGGAGCGAAAUGGCAGAGUUGCCUCAACAUAUCUAAGGUCCCACUGAACCAGGUUGAGAAGUGGAACAAGCAGAGGGAGAAUGAGACAUUUGCAGGGCCCCUCGAAAUCGUCUGUUUGAGAGUCUCCUCGGUUGCUUUUGUGUCUGCGCUACUACUGACUUGUAGUUGGAAUUUAUGCUCCUGUCAUGUACUCUCUUCCAACAAUCGCUGCAAAACAUCAAGUGAUGCUUUUCUCUAUGUUGCAUAAAUAGUUCAGCAUGCUUAAAUGUACGCAUGUCUUGCCUGGGACUUGUGAAUGCCGAGAACCAAUGAGACAUUUUUGGUUCUAAGUCAUGCUGAUGUGAGAGAAUAUGUUGUUGUUAUGUGACAGUGCAAUUAUGUGAUGAUA